CUAUAGUUCUAACUAGCUGUUUAGGCCCCCGGCCACUUUAUCUCUGGUUAAAAAAAGGUGAUUUACUCACCUUUUCCCAGUGCUGCAUGGGUAUGGUUGCUCCUGGCUCCGCCCACGCUUCGCCAAUCUCAGCCAAUCCAGGCUAUAGCUGCAUGGCAAAACAACACGCUGCGCCAAUCAGCAUCUUCUCAUAAAGAUGCAUUGACUCAAUGCAUCUCUAUGGUGAAAGUUCAGCGUCUCUAUGCAGAGUGGGAAGGCGUUGAACAGCAGUGCAGUGUCUGAGUGACUGCCACUGGAGGUGCGCCUAGGGAGAAAUGCAGGGACAUGCUAUAGACACCAAAACAACUACAUUAAGCUGUAAUUGUUCUGGUGACCACAAUGUCCCUUUAAGUGCUAGGUAUUUAAGAUUGUUUGGAGUGAAAUAGAUCUGUACCAGGAGCAAAAUGGGAGCAGGAUGUAAGAGAGACCACGUUUGGAAAUAUUUUAAUAAAGUUCCUCUACCUAUGGGUAAAGCAGGUAUGUGUGCAAAAUACUAGCAGUGCAAUAAAGACAUGCAAGGCCUGGCAGCCCCAAUGAAACAUCACUAGAAGUGCUGUGAUGAAAGGAACAUGUUUGAAGAGGCAGGACCUUCAGGUUGGUAAAUGGUUUUUAUUUCACCAUAUAUUUUUACGUCUGCCAUAAGGAAUUGUCAUGCUAGAGCAAUUAUAUAUAUUUGUUAUUGUCACUACAUGGCACUGCAUUUUAUAAAGUUGCUAAAAAGAAAU